rfam:Triticum aestivum genome assembly, contig: Triticum_aestivum_CS42_TGACv1_scaffold_499694_6BL
AUUGACGAAUUGACGAUUUGCAAAUAUUCAAGCUCAACAGACCAAAUUACAGGUUCUCUCAGGAGUUGAUUUGUAUGCCGACUAUCCCGCUAAACCGAGCCAUU